UGGAUCUGUUGGGGUGGCUCUCUUUUGACCUGUAGUGUUGAGGAAACUAUGCUUCAUGCUUCAGUUCUGGAUGUUUCCUGGGGUAUUUCUACUCCAUGUGUCUCUUAGUCUUCAGACACUAGUUGGCUACACAAGACAUGCUCUUUGUGUGGCAAUGGGAAAAACACAGAACUGAAGCAAUGUCACUGAAAGCAAACUAAUCAUGAGAAAACCUCAGAUAAACCCAAAUGGAGAGACAUUCUACGAAAUAACUGAUCAGUACCCAUCAAAGACAAGGAAAGAGUGAGGAACUUUUACAUAUGUAAGGUUACUAAGGAAAUAUCACUAAUAAUAUAUGGAAUGUGGGAUUUUCUGUCU
rnacentral:lncRNA from 1 species